rnacentral:misc_RNA from 1 species
UCUCCGUAGGUGAACCUGCGGAGGGAUCAUUACUGAGUGAGGGCCUUCGGGCUCGACCUCCAACCCUUUGUGAACACAACUUGUUGCUUCGGGGGCGACCCUGCCGUUCGGCGCGGCGCCCCCGGAGGCUCAUCAAACACUGCAUUCUCUGCGUCGGAGUAUUAGUAAAUCUAAUCAAAACUUUCAACAACGGAUCUCUUGGUUCUGGCAUCGAUGAAGAACGCAGC